rnacentral:lncRNA from 1 species
GAUCCCAUCUAGGAUCUCGAUUUUGUCUCUCCCAGAACGUAUCUCUCACGGAUCUCGAUUUUUAAACUUUGAGAUCGCGAAUCCCACUGAUAGGAAUCCCGAUUCUUGCUGUUAGAGAUCUCCAUCCCAGCCUUAAAGACCAAGACAACAACCAAAUUGAUGACUUUAUUUGUUUAUAGCCAACUAGCAAUACAACUAUUGCUUUCUUGCUAUCAAUAAUGAGAUCCCUACUUUAAAGAGUAUACAUAAUCCUAGAUUGCCAUACAAUUUAAGGUUGGUAACAAGAUCCCCAAAAGGUCGGGGAUCAAGAUGCCCAAAAGGUUGGGAAUCUCGAUCCCUAAUAUUUGGGAUCUCGAUCCCUAACACGUGCAUUGUACAGACGACGUUCCCAACCAUAGGGAUCUUCUUGCAUUUCACGAUCCCGAUCCUAGUACCAUUCCCUCUCCCGAUCC